rnacentral:lncRNA from 1 species
AUAACCUGACUAGGACUAGGAUGCAUCAUGUUUUCUAUUCUUGCGUGUUGAUAUGGUUGAGUGCAGGUUCCCGUUAUCUUUAAAGAUAGUUUCAUAGCAGGAGGCUGAACUAUCUGGGUAACAGUUUGAUUGAGUUGUUUAGUAUUGAUAUUAUUGUUUAAUUGUUGGUUUUAGUGGUCUUAGGCCAUAUAGGCCGGAUUACUGGUACUAUUGGUUACUCUUGUAGAGUCGAGUGUCUAGUUAGGAUCUGGAACUUUAGCCUUAGGUUAGGUUCUAGAUUGAGUUUGUGUUGUGUGAGUGUUGCCGACAGUAUGAGCGUAACCCGCCCAUACUAGGCUUGUUUGGGGUUGAUUAGUAUUUCCUCGCCCUCGUAUUCAGUGGGUUCAAGGAAACCCCUUAUUCGCUGGAUCGGGAAGACUCAGAGAGACGGGAUCAUGGCCUAUGGCUGAGUGAGUACACGGCGGUGUAAUGUGGCAGUGACCCAAAGGACUGUGGGCUGUCGCGCGGUGACCCGAAGGACUGUGGGCCGCGGUCGGUUGAAAGUUCCUUCUUCUGGCCUUUGUGGUAGGAAGAUAGGAUAUUGCCGAUAGAGAGGAGGAACACGAAGUCACCAGGGCCCAGGCUAGAGUGUUGUGUUAGUGUGUCGUAGAGGGUUAUGGAACCCUCGAGUUAAUGUAGCACCAAUAUACGGUGUUACGAGUUAGAUCGAGUCAUUGGUAGUUACUAUCUUAUUAUUGUUGUGGUUGUGGUUGUUGAUUGUUUGUCUUGCAGGUUUUGACAUUAAGUCCUAAGUCUGGUUUAGAUACCGGAUUUGCCUUGGUGUGUAUUUGGUUAGUGUAGGCCUGACGUUGGCUUAUAUGUGUUCGAGUGAUUGCUUGUGAAGGGUGGUGGAUAUUGAAGCUAUGCGGUAUCAUUGGUUGGCCGAUCAUGUUCUUGUCUGAUUGUUGGUCGACCGGUUAAUGAUACUUGUAUAUUCUAAGUGUCUAACACUACAUGAUUACUGAACUAAAGCGUAUAUAUGGUUAACGAGAGA